CCUACGUGUGGCAGCAGUGGGGAAUAUUGGUCAAUGGAGGCAACUCUUACCCAGCAAUGCCGCGUGAAUGAAGAAGGUCUUCGGAUUGUUAAGUUCUUUUAUUGGGGACGAAAAAAAUGACGGUACCCAAGGAAUAAGUCUCGUCUAACUACGAGCCAGCAGCCGCGGGAAUACGUAGGCGGCAGUAGUUGUUCGGAUUGACUGGGCGUCAAGGGUGUGUGGGCGGGGUAGCAAGUUAGAAGGGAAAUACCUAGGGCUGAACCCCGGUGCUGCAUGUGAAACUGCUAUACUUGAGUGCAGGAGAGGAAAGUGGAAUUCCUGGUGUAGCGGUGGAAUGCGUAGAUAUUAGGAGGAACAUCAGUUGCGAAGGCGACUUUCUGGACUGUAACUGACGCUGAGGCACGAAAGUGUGGGGAGCAAACAGGAUUAGAUACCCGGGUAGUC
rnacentral:rRNA from 1 species